UAACUCCUUCAGAAUGCCAUCUACAGAUGGUUAUCUAAUACAUUAAAAGAGAGUCAAUGGCUCUCCUAACGUGCCAUAUGUCGAGAGCUGGGCAUGCUACAUGUCGAUCUCUGACUCUUUCAGAAUGUCAUCUACCGAUAUUUAGAUACGCCACCUGAUGGUGUCUGGAGCUUGCUACUGGUUUUUAGUUGAAUGAAGAAAAAAAUUAAAAUAAAAAACUAUAAAAUAUAGAAUGGUACCACGGGACUUAUUAUGGG
rnacentral:lncRNA from 1 species